rnacentral:lncRNA from 1 species
UGUGAAUGAAAAAUAUCUUCUUCUUUUUUUUGAAACAAAUGUGUUAAUCUAAUAAUAGAAAGCCAUACGGCAUCUACACCAAUGAUCGAGUCGAACAAACUGAAUGUAUUUUGAGUAAAGGAUAGUUUAGUCAUUUUGGAUUAAAUUGAUCAAGAUUCGAUUUUACUGCUACAAGUAUGUGUCAAACUGCUUCUUUUAUCAUCAACUACGGUAUAUAUUACAUGAUGUUUAAACACAAUUGGAAAUAUAACAUCUCACUAUGUCAGCAGCCAAACUGCUUCUUUUAUCAUCAACUACAGUAUAUAUUACAUGAUGUUUAAACACAAUUGAAAAUAUAACAUCUCACUAUGUCAGCAGCCAAACUGCUUCUUUUAUCAUCAACUACAGUAUAUAUUACAUGAUGUUUAAACACAAUUGGAAAUAUAACAUCUCAUUAUAUCAGCAGCCGCGCAGCAAUCGUCAGCUUAGAGUUUUGACUAUGACAAAAGAGUAUACCUUCAUCUACGAUCGAACAUUAAACUGCUCAGAAAGAAUACCAUCAUUUUGACUCUGUUUUACAUGAUUUAAGGGUCUAUUUUAUGUAACUUUUCGCAAGGAUUUCAAAUAUACAAUUUGUUUUAAG